GUCACAUAAUGGCUGCUGCCAAUUUCUUAGUCCCUGGUGAGGUCUCAACUCUCACCAAGAUGCACUCAGAGUCCAUCAGAAUUUGCUCAGCUCAUGUAGAUUCUUGACUACAUAAUGCCUUCAAUCAAGAAUACACCACGAAGACUGGAUCAGAGGAAAUUCUGAGCAGCAAAUGCAAUUCACCCACCCACACCAGCUCAUGUUCGUGCUUUUUGCUGGGGACAGAGUCUUCCUUCCAGUCAGACAUGGUACUUGAAAAUAUGCUGCUAAGAUCGAUGUCAAAGAGUGUACUGCCUAUGCUUUCUUCCAGAAGUUUCAUGGUUUCGGGUCUUAUAUUCAAGUCUUUAAUCCAUUUUGAGUAUGGACAGCUAGUAUUCAACAAGGGAGCCAAGAGCAUACGGUGGAGAAAGGAG
rnacentral:lncRNA from 1 species